AUGUUCAGGGAAACCACGAGGGAGAACAGCGGGUCCUGCAGGUGUGAGUGCCCCGCGAUGAUAAGAUUAUUGAGAACAUCCGACAAUGGCUGGUACAUAACAGAGCACAGGCCAAAUCAUAAUCAUUCAUUGAUGCAGACAUGCGGCGAGAAAGUGCAUUGGCCGUCGCACAAGCACAUAGACAUGUACACCAAGGAUUUGGUGAAGCAGCUAAGGCAGAACAAUGUCAAUGUCACAAAGGUGUACAUCAUAAUAUCAAGUUUUUUCAGGGAUGCUGAGAAGGUUCCAUUUACUAAAAGAUCACUGCCAAACCUGUGCGGUAAGAUUAACAGAGAGCAAGCUGAGGAUGAUGUGAGGAAGACAAUUGAUGUCUUCGCUGAGAUAGCAGCUAAAGAUCAGGAAUUUGUUUUCAGAGUACAACCAGAUAAAGGCUGUAGAAUUAAGAAUCUGAUGUGGGCUACAGGCAGCAGUAGAAACCAAUACAUGUACUUCGGGGAUGUCGUUACAUUUGACACAGCAUAUAGGACAAAUCUGUAUGACAUGCCGUUUGGGUUGUUUGUUGGUGUGAACAACCACUUUCAGAGCAUCAUACUGGCUGGGGUGCUUCUACGAGACGAGCAGGUUGAGAGCUUCGAGUGGGUCUUCACUGAGUUCGUCAGGAUGAUGGGAGGGAAGGCUCCAGUAACUAUCCUCACAGGUAUGAACAGCUGGAAAAGUUCUCUGUUUUUUGCAUCCGACGGUUGA
rnacentral:rRNA from 1 species